rnacentral:rRNA from 1 species
CGUGUAGGCGGUUGGUUAAGUCGGAUGUGAAAGCCUGGGGCUCAGCCCCAGAAGUGCAUCCGAAACUAUCCAGCUAGAGCGCGAUAGAGGAGGGUGGAAUUCCUGGUGUAGCGGUGAAAUGCGUAGAUAUCAGGAGGAACACCGGCGGCGAAGGCGGCCCUCUGGAUCGUUGCUGACGCUGAGACGCGAAAGCGUGGGGAGCAAACAGGAUUAGAUACCCUGGUAGUCCACGCUUUAAACGAUGGGUACUAGGUGUUCGGGGUGUUGACCCCCUGAGUGCCGCAGUUAACGCAUUAAGUACCCCGCCUGGGGACUACGGCCGCAAGGUUAAA